rnacentral:tRNA from 1 species
GGCUAUAGCUCAGUGGCAGAGCACGUGCCUAGCAUGGGUGAGGCACUGGGUUCGAUCCUCAGUACCA